GGCCACUGUCAUGGGGCUGUCUUUUCAUUGUCCAUUUGCCUAGUAAUUUGCUAGUUAUGGAUGAUUUCCAUCGGUCGCCUGUAUGGUUCUACUCUUUUGGGUAGUGCAUGAUUGUUUUGUUGACGCUUAUUUAGCCUGCUCUGUUAAUGUUANUGUUGACAGGACGGCCGAGAUGUCAGCGAAUUUCAAGUGCUUCCAUGUGCGUAGCCAUGGUAAUGCACUUGGAUGUUCGCUGGGUCUCAUGGAUGCGGUCCCUAUUGUGAGCUCUACGGGCUUCUUGCCCGCAAAACCUGUGAGGUUGCCCCUGCGGAGACCAUUGCC
rnacentral:misc_RNA from 1 species